rnacentral:rRNA from 1 species
CACACUGCCGAGAAAAGCCUCUAGAUAGAAAAUAGGUGCCCGUACCGCAAACCGACACAGGUAGUCAAGAUGAGAAUUCUAAGGUGAGCGAGCGAACUCUCGUUAAGGAACUCGGCAAAAUGACCCCGUAACUUCGGGAGAAGGGGUGCUCUUUAGGGUUAACGCCCAGAAGAGCCGCAGUGAAUAGGCCCAAGCGACUGUUUAUCAAAAACACAGGUCUCUGCUAAACCGUAAGGUGAUGUAUAGGGGCUGACGCCUGCCCGGUGCUGGAAGGUUAAGAGGAGUGGUUAGCUUCUGCGAAGCUACGAAUCGAAGCCCCAGUAAACGGCGGCCGUAACUAUAACGGUCCUAAGGUAGCGAAAUUCCUUGUCGGGUAAGUUCCGACCCGCACGAAAGGCGUAACGAUUUGGGCACUGUCUCAACGAGAGACUCGGUGAAAUCAUAGUACCUGUGAAGAUGCAGGUUACCCGCGACAGGACGGAAAGACCCCGUGGAGCUUUACUGUAGCCUGAUAUUGAAAUUCGGCACAGCUUGUACAGGAUAGGUAGGAGCCUUUGAAACGUGAGCGCUAGCUUACGUGGAGGCGCUGGUGGGAUACUACCCUAGCUGUGUUGGCUUUCUAACCCGCACCACUUAUCGUGGUGGGAGACAGUGUCAGGCGGGCAGUUUGACUGGGGCGGUCGCCUCCUAAAAGGUAACGGAGGCGCUCAAAGGUUCCCUCAGAAUGGUUGGAAAUCAUUCAUAGAGUGUAAAGGCAUAAGGGAGCUUGACUGCGAGACCUACAAGUCGAGCAGGGUCGAAAGACGGACUUAGUGAUCCGGUGGUUCCGCAUGGAAGGGCCAUCGCUCAACGGAUAAAAGCUACCCCGGGGAUAACAGGCUUAUCUCCCCCAAGAGUUCACAUCGAC